CAGUCGAACGGAAGAAUACGGCGACGAGAUUUCGGUCAAAUCAAGUGUAUCUUUAUUGACGGACGGGUGAGUAACGCGUGGGUAACCUGCCAUAUACAGGGGGAUAACACUUAGAAAUAGGUGCUAAUACCGCAUAAGCGCACAUGGCCGCAUGGCCAGGUGUGAAAAACUCCGGUGGUAUAUGAUGGACCCGCGUCUGAUUAGCUAGUUGGUGAGGUAACGGCCCACCAAGGCGACGAUCAGUAGCCGGCCUGAGAGGGUGGACGGCCACAUUGGGACUGAGACACGGCCCAAACUCCUACGGGAGGCAGCAGUGGGGGAUAUUGGACAAUGGGGGGAACCCUGAUCCAGCGACGCUGCGUGAGUGAAGAAGUAUCUCGGUAUGUAAAGCUCUAUCAGCAGGGAAGAAAGAAAUGACGGUACCUGAGUAAGAAGCCCCGGCUAACUACGUGCCAGCAGCCGCGGUAAUACGUAGGGGGCAAGCGUUAUCCGGAAUUACUGGGUGUAAAGGGAGCGUAGACGGUGAUGUAAGUCUGGAGUGAAAGGCGGGGGCCCAACCCCCGGACUGCUCUGGAAACUAUAUGACUGGAGUGCAGGAGAGGUGAGCGGAAUUCCUAGUGUAGCGGUGAAAUGCGUAGAUAUUAGGAGGAACACCAGUGGCGAAGGCGGCUCACUGGACUGUAACUGACGUUGAGGCUCGAAAGCGUGGGGAGCAAACAGGAUUAGAUACCCUGGUAGUCCACGCUGUAAACGAUGGAUGCUGGAUGU
rnacentral:rRNA from 1 species